GAUGAACGCUGGCGGCGUGCCUAAUACAUGCAAGUCGAGCGAACAGACGAGGAGCUUGCUCCUCUGACGUUAGCGGCGGACGGGUGAGUAACACGUGGAUAACCUGCCUAUAAGACUGGGAUAACUUCGGGAAACCGGAGCUAAUACCGGAUAACAUGUUGAACCGCAUGGUUCAACAGUGAAAGACGGUCUUGCUGUCACUUAUAGAUGGAUCCGCGCCGCAUUAGCUAGUUGGUAAGGUAACGGCUUACCAAGGCAACGAUGCGUAGCCGACCUGAGAGGGUGAUCGGCCACACUGGAACUGAGACACGGUCCAGACUCCUACGGGAGGCAGCAGUAGGGAAUCUGCCGCAGUGGGCGAGAGCAUGACGGAGCAACGCCGCGUGAGUGAAGAAGGUCUUCGGAUCGUAAAACUCUGUUAUUAGGGAAGAACAAAUGUGUAAGUAACUAUGCACGUCUUGACGGUAACUAAUCAGAAAGCCACGGCUAACUACGUG
rnacentral:rRNA from 1 species